AUAAGUAUUAUUACGAAGUAAUGUGAAAAUGGUUUUAUAAAAGUAAUGAUUAAUAAAUUAAAUUAAAUUAAAUUAAUAAAAGUAUAGUAGUAUUAUGAAAAUAUUUAAGUAAAUAUUAUCUUGUGGCGGACAACGGCAUUCACAUUCACAUUUAUAUUCAUAAUAUCAUGUUUAAUGUUAUAGUACAUGACAGUUAAUUAAAUAAAACUAACACCAGCAAAAUCCACGUGCCGAUCCUAUCAAAGGAGCCAACAUUGUAUAUAGAAGGAACUGCAGGAACACGGCAUAAUAUUCAGAUGUACCAUAGCCGCUAUUCGCCAAGACCAGAGCUACAUCACCCCACACUCAGCCACGUACACUUUUAUACGAUUACUACUUGAAAUAUAUUUCUAGAAUAAACAACUAUUUCAUUUUACUAUUCUAAUUGCACGAAAUCCCGAAUGUUGAAUAGUCUACGAGUUACUACACAUAUGUCGCAUAGUGUACACUGCGUAUUGGAUGUUUCACUCGUAUGUAGUUAAAACACUUCAUCGCCUGGAUCAUUAGCAAAGCUGCACAUAAUUGGCUCAGUCAAUAAAGGAUUUACAAAAAAGGCAAACCAGCGGUAUUGCUCACUGACAAUUCUGUGCAUGAGAUCCAAACAACAACAAUGUAGCAGCACUGUUAUUAUCAACAUUUUAAUUUACAAUGAUUUAAAGGAUGUUUUGAUAUCUACCACACAUUCUUACACUAGAUGUGUCAUUGAAACAUUCAGCUACUCAUAUUCUCGCCAUAUAAUCUACAGAGAUCUGAAACAUAAAAAUUGAACAUCACUGGUUGUGUGAAAUUUGACGAUUUUGCUUUAGCCAUAAAACCAAAAAAGAGAAGAGAAACAAGGAAGUUCUAUAGAACACCAGAAUACAUUACACCUGAUCUAUUUUCAACAGAGUUCAUGAUUUCUUUGGAGUACUUAUGUUUGAAUUGAAUUACUGUAAAACAAAGCCCAAGGAAAAAAUAUUACCUAGUAGCUAGUAGUUUUUAAUUAGUAGAAUUAAUGUACAAAACAAAUUUUAAUAAUUUAAUAUUGUAUUAUAGCACUUAACUGACCAAUGACAUAUUUGUGUUAAAAUGUUUUUCCUAUAACGACCAAAACUAUAAACUGUUGUCUAUAGGUAAUAGUGUACCUAUUUAUUAUAAUGAUAGUGUUUACCAAGGCCGAAUUAUGGUCAUAAUGUAAGGGCCCAGGUUAUUACUUAUGGUGAGGCCAAAACAAUUUUGUUAUUUUAUUCAGAUUUAAUAAUUUAUAAUAAAUAUUAAUUAAAAUCAGUAAAGUAUAUUUGUAUAUUGUA